rnacentral:rRNA from 1 species
CUUCAAGAUGAGACAUCCCCGAGGCCUCGAGCCUCCUGAAGGGCCCAGCGAGACCAGCUGGUUGAUAGGCCGGGUGUGGAAGCGCUGCAAGGCGUUGAGCUAACCGGUACUAAUGGCCCGUGAGGCUUGACCAU